rnacentral:rRNA from 1 species
UGAAGGUUGAGUAACAUCAACUGGAGGACCGAACCGACUAAUGUUGAAAAAUUAGCGGAUGACUUGUGGCUAGGGGUGAAAGGCCAAUCAAACUCGGAGAUAGCUGGUUCUCCCCGAAAGCUAUUUAGGUAGCGCCUCGGACGAAUACUACUGGGGGUAGAGCACUGUUAAGGCUAGGGGGUCAUCCCGACUUACCAACCCUUUGCAAACUCCGAAUACCAGUAAGUACUAUCCGGGAGACACACGGCGGGUGCUAACGUCCGUCGUGGAGAGGGAAACAACCCAGACCGCCAGCUAAGGUCCCAAAGUAUUGCUAAGUGGGAAACGAUGUGGGAAGGCUCAGACAGCUAGGAUGUUGGCUUAGAAGCAGCCAUCAUUUAAAGAAAGCGUAAUAGCUCACUAGUCGAGUCGGCCUGCGCGGAAGAUGUAACGGGGCUAAGCAAUACACCGAAGCUGCGGCAAUAUCUUUUAGAUAUUGGGUAGGGGAGCGUUCUGUAAGCCGUUGAAGGUGAAUCGUAAGGUUUGCUGGAGGUAUCAGAAGUGCGAAUGCUGACAUGAGUAACGACAAAGGGGGUGAAAAACCUCCUCGCCGGAAGACCAAGGGUUCCUGUCCAACGUUAAUCGGGGCAGGGUGAGUCGACCCCUAAGGUGAGGCCGAAAGGCGUAAUCGAUGGGAAACGGGUUAAUAUUCCCGUACUUCUGACUAUUGCGAUGGGGGGACGGAGAAGGCUAGGUGGGCCAGGCGACGGUUGUCCUGGUUCAAGUGCGUAGGCUUGAGAGUUAGGUAAAUCCGGCUCUCUCUAAGGCUGAGACACGACGUCGAGCUGCUACGGCAGUGAAGUCAUUGAUGCCAUGCUUCCAGGAAAAGCCUCUAAGCUUCAGAUAGUCAGGAAUCGUACCCCAAACCGACACAGGUGGUCGGGUAGAGAAUACCAAGGCGCUUGAGAGAACUCGGGUGAAGGAACUAGGCAAAAUGGUACCGUAACUUCGGGAGAAGGUACGCUCUUGAUGGUGAAGUCCCUCGCGGAUGGAGCUGACGAGAGUCGCAGAUACCAGGUGGCUGCAACUGUUUAUUAAAAACACAGCACUGUGCAAAAUCGCAAGAUGACGUAUACGGUGUGACGCCUGCCCGGUGCCGGAAGGUUAAUUGAUGGGGUUAGCGCAAGCGAAGCUCUUGAUCGAAGCCCCGGUAAACGGCGGCCGUAACUAUAACGGUCCUAAGGUAGCGAAAUUCCUUGUCGGGUAAGUUCCGACCUGCACGAAUGGCGUAAUGAUGGCCACGCUGUCUCCACCCGAGACUCAGUGAAAUUGAAAUCGCUGUGAAGAUGCAGUGUACCCGCGGCUAGACGGAAAGACCCCGUGAACCUUUACUACAGCUUGGCACUGAACAUUGAACCUACAUGUGUAGGAUAGGUGGGAGGCUAUGAAGACGUGACGCCAGUUGCGUUGGAGCCGUCCUUGAAAUACCACCCUUGUAUGUUUGAUGUUCUAACUUAGACCCAUUAUCUGGGUUGAGGACAGUGCCUGGUGGGUAGUUUGACUGGGGCGGUCUCCUCCCAAAGAGUAACGGAGGAGCACGAAGGUGGGCUAAUCACGGUUGGACAUCGUGAGGUUAGUGCAAUGGCAUAAGCCCGCUUAACUGCGAGAAUGACGGUUCGAGCAGGUGCGAAAGCAGGUCAUAGUGAUCCGGUGGUUCUGUAUGGAAGGGCCAUCGCUCAACGGAUAAAAGGUACUCCGGGGAUAACAGGCUGAUACCGCCCAAGAGUUCAUAUCGACGGCGGUGUUUGGCACCUCGAUGUCGGCUCAUCACAUCCUGGGGCUGAAGUCGGUCCCAAGGGUAUGGCUGUUCGCCAUUUAAAGUGGUACGCGAGCUGGGUUUAGAACGUCGUGAGACAGUUCGGUCCCUAUCUGCCGUGGGCGUUGGAAGAUUGAAGGGGGCUGCUCCUAGUACGAGAGGACCGGAGUGGACGAACCUCUGGUGUUCGGGUUGUGUCGCCAGACGCAUUGCCCGGUAGCUAAGUUCGGAAUUGAUAAGCGCUGAAAGCAUCUAAGCGCGAAGCGAGCCCUGAGAUGAGUCUUCCCUGAUACUUUAAGUAUCCUAAAGGGUUGUUCGAGACUAGAACGUUGAUAGGCAGGGUGUGUAAGCGUUGUGAGGCGUUGAGCUAACCUGUACUAAUUGCCCGUGAGGCUUAACCAU